ACGUCCCUGUGCACACAGACUGAACGUGGCCUUACUGUUAAGAAUAAUCUCUAAGGAAAUGAUAGUCUUAAAAAUUGCUUCAGGGAAAUGUCAGAAACAUGAGUUUUAUUAUUGAAAGGAGGCCAGAAGCAACCACAGCUCUUGUCCUGGGCCAAAGCUGCUCUGACUGGAUGGAGCACAAGUAUAACACGGUGAAUGAGAGGAGGGAGAAAGAAAAACAAGGAAGGAAUUUUGGGAUAUAAAGCACCGUCCUGGAAAUCUGAAGAAAAUCAGAGAAUGAAUGCUGGAAAUACUUAACAGGUCUGGGAGCAUUCUCUUAGAACAGGAACUCCACCAUUAACAUCAAAGCCGGAAAUUAAAUCAGAAGGAACAACCAAUAUUUGUACCCGUGACAUCAUUACUUUCCUUGGAGUUAGCAUAUCUGUGGAUCCAGCAUAUGGACACCAUCACAAGGAGGCAAGACAGUGCCUCUACUUUCU